rnacentral:rRNA from 1 species
AUUGAACGCUGGCGGCAGGCCUAACACAUGCAAGUCGAACGAGUGGCGGACGGGUGAGUAAUGUCUGGGAAACUGCCUGAUGGAGGGGGAUAACUACUGGAAACGGUAGCUAAUACCGCAUACCAUCCAUUGUGCCCAGAUGGGAUUAGCUAGUGGGUGGGGUAAAGGCUCACCUAGGCGACGAUCCCUAGCUGGUCGGAGAGGAUGACCGGCCACACUGGAACGGAGACACGGUCCAGACUCCUACGGGAGGCAGCAGUGGGGAAUAUUCGACAAUGGGCGAAAGCCUGAGGCAGCCAUGCCGCGUGUAUGAAGAAGGCCUUCGGGUUGUAAAGUACUUUCAGCGGGGAGGCGUUACCCGCAGAAGAAGCAACGGCUAACUCCGUGCCAGCAGCCGCGGUAAUAC